GACGAACGCUGGCGGCGUGCUUAACACAUGCAAGUCGAACGGGCCUUGUCCCCUUUUUUUUUGGGGGUGGGGUUAGUGGCGAACGGGUGAGUAACACGUGAGUAACCUGCCCCUCACUUCUGGAUAACCGCUUGAAAGGGUGGCUAAUACGGGGUGUUCUGGCCUGCUCGCAUGGGUGGGUUUGGAAAGAUUCGACCGGUUUUGGUUGUUUUGGUGGGGGAUGGGCUCGCGGCCUAUCAGCUUGUUGGUGGGGUGAUGGCCUGCCAAGGCUUUGACGGGUAGCCGGCCUGCGAGGGUGGGCGGUCACACUGGGACUGAGACACGGCCCAGACUCCUACGGGAAGCAGCAGUGGGGAAUAUUGCACAAUGGGCGCAAGCCUGAUGCAGCGACGCCGCGUGAGGGAUGGAGGCCUUCGGGUUGUGAACCUCUUUCGCCAGUGAAGAAGGUCCUGCUCUUUGUGGUGGGGUUGACGGUAGCUGGGUUAAUGAAGCGCCGGCUAACUACGUG
rnacentral:rRNA from 1 species